rnacentral:rRNA from 1 species
UACGUAGGUGGCAAGCGUUGUCCGGAUUUACUGGGCGUAAAGAGCGCGCAGGCGGUCGUUCAAGUCGCGUGUGAAAGCCCCCGGCUUAACUGGGGAGGGUCACGCGAUACUGAUCGACUCGAAGGCAGGAGAGGGUAGUGGAAUUCCCGGUGUAGUGGUGAAAUGCGUAGAUAUCGGGAGGAACACCAGUGGCGGAGGCGACUACCUGGCCUGUUCUUGACGCUGAGGCGCGAAAGCUAGGGGAGCAAACGGG